UCCAGCUUAUCGCUGGCGGUCUCCUGCGAGUGCCCAACUAAAUGAUGGCAACACAGGACAAGGGUUGCGCUCGUCGCGGGACUUAACCCAACAUCUCACGACACGAGCUGACGACAGCCAUGCACCACCUGUGCACGAGCCCCGAAGGGCUGCCGUAUUUCUACGACAUUCCCGUGCAUGUCAAGCCUUGGUAAGGUUCUUCGCGUUGCGUCGAAUUGAACCACAUGCUCCGCUGCUUGCGCGGGCCCCCGUCAAUUCCUUUGAGUUUCAGCCUUGCGGCCGUACUCCCCAGGCGGGGUACUUCCUGCGUUAGCGCCGGCACCCAAGGGGUCGCUCCCCCAGGCACCUAGUACCCAUCGUUUACGGCGUGGACUAC
rnacentral:misc_RNA from 1 species